GGCAACCUCAGAGACUCCUGUGGCUUUGCAGCAGCAAGACCUCUUCUCAAGGUGUCUCCUUAGGGACUGACAGAGAAUUAGGAUGAAUGUACAUGAGCAUGAGGAAGAACAUGACUGGCGUUUUCUCCUUUCCUACUGCUGAUUUUGUAGUCCCUGUUUAGAAGAACUCAGCUCAGUGCCCCGAAGUACGGAGCUUAGUGACUUAGCUGCAAGAGUCCAUCAGUGACCCAGCUUAGGACACCAGCCGGCUGGCCGGGAGGGGGAUUUACCAGCUCUACAAACUGCUGCUCCACCAGAGGGGACAACUCUUAAGAAUGGGAGAGAAGGAAAGUUACAAUGAGGAAAUCCGCACAAACACCCUGAAAACAAUCUGGAUGCAGGAAAUCAGAAUUAUUUUUGACAAGCGAGGAGAGAGAGCGAGAAAGACAGAGGGAGAGGGAAAAAGCUGACGCACAUUUGAUAUACUUUUUUGACGGCGAUUUUACUUUAUUAUGUUUAAUUGAAAAGUGUUAAAGUCAUGCAACAUGAAUAUUCAACUGACGCCUUUUGGUGGUGUUCCAGGAGUUAUGAUUGUCUGUGAUUCUGCCGCAGCUUCACAGCACGGAGCCCUGUCAAAGUGAGAGUGACAGUGGGGAAGCUAUUAAUUGAAAUAGCUUCAUUAAUUAGUAAUUAACAGCAGGGUAAUGACUAUGUCACACAUCGUAUUUCAAUGAAU